rnacentral:tRNA from 1 species
GUCCCUAUAGUUCAAUGGAUAGAACUGCGGUUUCCUAAACCGCCAAUCCGGGUUCGAGUCCCGGUGGGGGCACCA